CCUACGGGAGGCAGCAGUGGGGAAUAUUGGACAAUGGGGGGAACCCUGAUCCAGCCAUGCCGCGUGUGUGAAGAAGGCCCUCGGGUUGUAAAGCACUUUCAGUGAGGAAGAACGCCUGGUGGUUAAUACCCAUCAGCAAAGACAUCACUCACAGAAGAAGCACCGGCUAACUCCGUGCCAGCAGCCGCGGUAAUACGGAGGGUGCGAGCGUUAAUCGGAAUUACUGGGCGUAAAGCGCGCGUAGGUGGCUUGAUAAGCCGGUUGUGAAAGCCCCGGGCUCAACCUGGGAACGGCAUCCGGAACUGUCAAGCUAGAGUGCAGGAGAGGAAGGUAGAAUUCCCGGUGUAGCGGUGAAAUGCGUAGAGAUCGGGAGGAAUACCAGUGGCGAAGGCGGCCUUCUGGACUGACACUGACACUGAGGUGCGAAAGCGUGGGUAGCAAACAGGAUUAGAUACCCGGGUAGUC
rnacentral:rRNA from 1 species